rnacentral:rRNA from 1 species
UACAGAGGUGGCAAGCGUUGUUCGGAAUUACUGGGCGUAAAGGGCUCGUAGGCGGCCAACUAAGUCGGACGUGAAAUCCCUCGGCUCAACCGGGGAACUGCGUCCGAUACUGGAUGGCUUGAAUCCGGGAGAGGGAUGCGGAAUUCCAGGUGUAGCGGUGAAAUGCGUAGAUAUCUGGAGGAACACCGGUGGCGAAGGCGGCAUCCUGGACCGGCAUUGACGCUGAGGAGCGAAAGCCAGGGGAGCAAACGGG